rnacentral:tRNA from 1 species
GGGGGUGCAGCUCAGUGGUAGAGUGCUUGCCUAGUAAGCACGAGGCCUUGGGUUCCAUUCCUAGUACCACUG